GAUCAUGGCUCAGGAUGAACGCUAGCGGCAGGCUUAACACAUGCAAGUCGAGGGGCAGCGGGGAGUAGCAAUACUCCGCCGGCGACCGGCGCACGGGUGAGUAACACGUAUCCAACCUGCCGUCUACUCUUGGCCAGCCUUCUGAAAGGAAGAUUAAUCCAGGAUGGGAUCAUGAGUUCACAUGUCCGCAUGAUUAAAGGUAUUUUCCGGUAGACGAUGGGGAUGCGUUCCA
rnacentral:rRNA from 1 species